GACGAACGCUGGCGGCAUGCCUAACACAUGCAAGUCGAACAAGACCUUCGGGUCUAGUGGCGCACGGGUGCGUAACGCGUGGGAACCUGCCCUUAGGUUCGGAAUAACUCCCCGAAAGGGGUGCUAAUACCGGAGAAUGUCUUCGGACCAAAGAUUUAUCGCCUUUGGAUGGGCCCGCGUUGGAGUAGCUAGUUGGUAGGGUAAAAGCCUACCAAGGCGACGAUCCAUAGCUGGUCGGAGAGGAUGAUCAGCCACACUGGGACUGAGACACGGCCCAGACUCCUACGGGAGGCAGCAGUGGGGAAUAGUGGACAAUGGGCGAAAGCCUGAACCAGCAAUGCCGCGUGAGUGAUGAAGGCCUUAGGGUUGUAAAGCUCUUUUACCCGGGAUGAUAAUGACAGUACCGGGAGAAUAAGCGCCGGCUAACUCCGUG
rnacentral:rRNA from 1 species